rnacentral:lncRNA from 1 species
AUUUAAUAUAUGGCUUCAGCAUGAUAAAUCAAUACUGGCAUUAGCAGCUACAUUGGAUUUGGAAAUAACAGUACCAACAUUCGCAUCUUGUUUUAUGAUUGAAAUGUACGAAGAUAACAACGGAAAUUUUUUAGUGGAAAUGCAUUUUCGAAAUGAUACAUCUGGAAAUACCUUUCUCUUCAAACUCAAAGAUUGUGAUAUUUCUUGCCCUCUUGAACAAUUUUUGAGACUUACAAGCCAACGAACAACAACAAAACAAGAUUGUUUUCCUCAUAAAAAAUUUUUCUUGACACAGCCACAAUUAAAAAUUGGGUUCUUUGUAUUUAUGAUAUUGACCUUGUUACUAAUGGUAACGCUGAUGGUCAUAAUUAUUCGUAGGAGAAAGGUUUUAAAUCGAUUGAAGUUUUAUAACUCCUCGCUAAAAAAUAGUGAACUUGGACAACUAUUAGCCGAAUAAAAUAGUGAACUCGGACAAUUAUUAGCCAAAUAAUCCCCAAGAAAGAUUUUUUUCAUAUAUAUAUGUACCCCUAAUAUAGUAUAAACAUCGAGCUUUUCAUAAAACACUCCUUGAAACGAGACUGUGCUUGUUAAAAUAUAAAUAAACCUACGUUUUUUAAAAAUG